rnacentral:misc_RNA from 1 species
GAUGAAGAACGUAGCGAAAUGCGAUACGUAAUGUGAAUUGCAGAAUUCAGUGAAUCAUCGAGUCUUUGAACGCACAUUGCGCCCCCUGGUAUUCCGGGGGGCAUGCCUGUCCGAGCGUCAUUGCUGCCCUCAAGCACGGCUUGUGUGUUGGGCCUCCGCCCCCCGGCUCCCGGGGGGCGGGCCCGAAAGGCAGCGGCGGCACCGCGUCCGGUCCUCGAGCGUAUGGGGCUUCGUCACCCGCUCCGUAGGCCCGGCCGGCGCCCGCCGGCGACCCCCCUCAAUCUUUCCAGGUUGACCUCGGAUCAGGUAGGGAUACCCGCUGAACUUAAGCAUAUCAAAAGCGGAGA